GAUGAACGCUGGCGGCGUGCUUAACACAUGCAAGUCGAACGGGAAUUAUUUUAUUGAAACUUCGGUCGAUAUGAUUUAAUUCUAGUGGCGGACGGGUGAGUAACGCGUGGGUAACCUGCCUUGUACAGGGGGAUAACAGUCAGAAAUGGCUGCUAAUACCGCAUAAGCGCACAGAGCUGCAUGGCUCCGUGUGAAAAACUACGGUGGUAUAAGAUGGACCCGCGUUGGAUUAGCUUGUUGGCAGGGUAACGGCCUACCAAGGCGACGAUCCAUAGCCGGCCUGAGAGGGUGAACGGCCACAUUGGGACUGAGACACGGCCCAGACUCCUACGGGAGGCAGCAGUGGGGAAUAUUGCACAAUGGGGGAAACCCUGAUGCAGCGACGCCGCGUGAAGGAAGAAGUAUCUCGGUAUGUAAACUUCUAUCAGCAGGGAAGAGAUUGACGGUACCUGACUAAGAAGCCCCGGCUAACUACGU
rnacentral:rRNA from 1 species